GUUUUAAUGCAGCAAGGCGAUUGUCGCGCGUCUACGGACACACAAAGAUAAUUUAUAAAGGUUAAUUUUCGUUCGGAAGUAAUUUAAAUAAAUUGUCCACAGUUUGUCGAAUUAAUUUGUUGUUUAAUAAACAAGAAAAUACCGUCGGAACCAUCAAAAAUUGAACAUCAUUAUAGUGAAUUAAUUGAUUUGUCGAAAGCAAUUGGAAGAGAUAUCCACACUGUGGCGCGCUUCAUAUUGAAAACAUUGUUCAAGUAAAAUAACUUCUUCUGAGUGGCAAUAAAGUCGAAACUCGAGUUUCUAUCAGCUGAUCUAUUGUGAUCACCACUAAUUACAGUUCGGAACCAAGGCCGACAGCAUUGAAGAACUGAAGAACUUUUCUGGCUCCGGCAGAUUGAUGUCCUUUGGUUGUGGCAAAUGCCUGAUAGAGAUGGAGCUUCGUACGCCCAUCAGGGGAUAGCAUUGGGCGUCUAUCAGCAGCAGACAUUUAUCUUCUGUCCAAACAUUCAUCUCGAAAAGAAUAAUAGGUUCGCAGCGUGCAAUGAUCUCCACUUUCGACGUUCACGAACGCACUGCGAACGUCCUUUGAUUCGCGGCAAAAUCGACGGCUCACUGUGUAUCGCACGCGUUCCGCUCGCGGCAAGCUCGCGAACCACGUUAUAUUAUGAUUUUUGGUAACAUUAUCAUGCAACGAUGACGGUUACAGCUCGCUAGUGUGUACUCAGCCUUAGGGCGCUUGUAGAAUUUAGAUUAGAUUUAAAAAAAAUGUAUACACCAGAAUUGACUUAUGA